rnacentral:lncRNA from 1 species
CAGUGACAAGUUGACAACACAGUGUAUAUGCGAGUGAAGUCACAAAUUGGAAAUUCCAGUGACAACACAGUGUAUAUGCGAGUGAAGUCACAAAUACUAAAUCACCAUUCGAUUAAGUGUCAUAGCUUGAAUUAUUGCAUAAAUUAUCACAACGGAUCGCAUAAAUCGACACAAGACACCCAAAUAACAAAUUACUAAAGGUAGAAGCGAUUUCUCCAUCUGAAUCUUCCGAAUUCAUUGCCUUGGAUCCAGCAGACAAUCUCAAGCCAUCUUCAUCCCUGAGAAGUACAUAUCCAGGCACUGGGACUUGAAUUUCUUAGCAUCUCCUGGUUCUGCAUACCUUUUGCUUUUUUUUAUCAUGUGGGAGUUAGAAUUAAUUCCUGCACCACGCACACCAGAUUCAAUUACCAAACACUCCUGCUCCAUGCAGCUUCGAACAGCACAUGGUGUUAAGUAAGAGUUACAUUAUUACUGCCAGAAACCACAGUACAGCAUGACAAUUAACAGACAACAUAAACAGGUUUUGCAUACAUUGUUAGCUAACAAUGUUUUAGUAAUAAUACUAUCUACUUGGUUUUACAUACCAUCAGAAGAGUGGGCCCACAAGCCCUAGGCUAUUUUCCACCAAAAUUUUCACCAAAAUGAAUGAUUGACCUGCCCACGUGUGCAUAGACGAUCUGUUCACAAACUUCCACUCCAAGCAAGAAUCCAAUAGCGGCAGAUAUAAUACUGACCAUUACCCACAACCCUUUCCUUUUCAGCCCAUUGAUGAUGUUCUCCCUAUCAAAAGGAUGUGCAUAGUGCAUUUACGUUAGGAUCGUUUCAUUUGAGUACAAAUCAAAUAAGUUGUAGUGCCUCCAAUUAAUUACCUCUCAGCUUCAGCUUUAAUUCUAGUUAAAUCAUCAUCAAUAAUACUAGCUAUCUCGUCAUCUAUCUCCACUCCCUCUUCUUUUAAAUUUGUCAAUAUAUGUUCAACCUCCUUCGCCUUCCUAGCAACAUUAGCUCUAGCUCCAUUGCCAGAUCCACCCUGCUAGGAUAAAGUAGAGAAAUAAAGUUUAUAUGGUGCGGUAAUGCAUAAGCUAAAACAGCUAUUCAUGUAUGUUAGUGGAUGCAAUGGAGAGAGCAUGGCUGGCAAUUCGCUAACAAUAGUCCUUUCAGAAUCCAUACUAUGAAACUUUUAAACGUUUGACCAGUUGUAUGCCUAAAGCUAUCAAGAUUGACUAUAUGAAAUUUUAUAUUACUAGACUUGUUUUGGAAGUACAAGUUAGAACAUCAUUGAUAUAGAAGUUAUAAAAUAGGGGCACCCGCCCUGCCCCUCACCACACACCACCCAAAUAAAUUGAAUGCCAUUAUACCAUGGAAUUAACGAAAGAAGUCCACUUAACCCCCUAGGAUUUCACAAACCGGCCCAUUUACCCCCUCAGGUCUAAAACCGGGUAUUUAACCCCUGUUCUUUCCUAUACCAGGUGAAUCACCCCUAGCACCGAUCAGAGUGGUUUUCCAGGCGGUUUUGAAGGUUGCGAGUGCCAGGUCGACAUAGUUCCUCUGCCCACCUUUCUGCCAUCACAUGUUGCUCAGGUCAUCCCACCCAAACCACAUGCAUCGUUGAGGUACUGUUCGGCAGCAGCACCAGCCAGCAGCCAGCCACGAGGAAGUUCGGCCCGGCGUGGUUCACGAAGCGCCUUUCGUAGAGCUCUGCCCGCCUCUGCCUCUGGUAAAGAAAAUGGUGUGUCAAUGUGAUAGCAAUUUGGCAAGGCUCCCGGUUCCUUGGAAGCACCAGCUCCUUGUUCGGCAUCGGGCUCUAGAAAGCAUGCACAUGCGACUAUGGUUUGGCUCGCAUGCAAUCUCGACUUGCCACCGAACCUCUCGUGCGUGGUCGUCGUCGUAGUCGCCUCGGCAGCGCUCUUGCCAGUCACGUCCGCUUCGUCCUCCGUGGUAUCGAGCUGGCGCCCAUGCCGCCGGCAGCUGUUGAGAUCCACUAUUAGUUACUAAACACGGUUAGUCAUGUCCAUCUCAGACAUGGUGGCACGUACUUCUUGUGUCUAUGUGCGUGCUUGUCCAGGUCUCCAGGAGGGAAGCAGGUCUACACUUGUGUAUUAUCUUCGUUGGAGCUUGCAUUCACGCGUGAUCUGGACCUUGUAUCAACAUCAAGAAGUUUGUCCGCCUCGCCGGCGACUCGCUCCAGUUCCUCGCUGCUUCCCGCGUCCAUAUCCUGCUUGUCACCGUCGUCAAUGACCUCGACCGCCCCACCAUCAUUCGCCACAGAGAGCUUCAGUACGGCAGCCGGUAGUGUGCGACGAUCCCUUGCAAGAACUUGCUCAGUUGGCGGGUUGUGCCGGUGGGUGCACCCCAGCACGGCAGCCGCGGUUGCACAGCACUAACGCGACGGCGUAGACGUCUGGAAGAAUCCCUCGAACCGCGGCGGCAUACGCUGGGAAACCUGGAGACGUGGAGGGUGACGUCGAGAUGCACACAAUUAGAAUAGCGGGACUAGGCGAGCGCCCGCGAGUGGAACGACGCCGCUCGUGCUCGGAGGAGGAUGGACGAGGCUUGGUGCAGAACGGUCAGAAACGAGCUGCAUCUCGCUAUGUCCAACAAAACCGCCUGAAAAACUACUCUAAUCGGUGUUAGGGUGUGAUUCACCUGGUUCAGGAAAGAUCAGGGAGUUAAAUAGCUGGUUUUUGACCUUAGGGGGUAAGCUGGCCAGUCUGUGAAAUCCCAGGGGUUAUCUGGACUUCUUUCUGGAAUUAACUGUUCAUCAUAUCUGCUUCAGUAGAAACAAAUUAUCACCACCUUUUUCAAGCAAAAGUAACAAAUUUAGCAAAUGUCUCUAAGAUAGGCCUCCUCUGCAAAGGAGGUUACUAUGCAUAUUUUUAAGUGGCAAUAUUCACCAUUAUUGGCUUAAUUGCAGAAACCCUCUGCUGACAAAGGUCUGAAGAAGGUACUUGCAUCAAAAGCCCUAUUUUCUGGGGAAAAUACACAUGGCGAAGCAUAUACUAUGUUGGUAUAAAAACUGUUUGAUCGGGGCCUACUGGUUAAUUUGGUGAUAGACGAUGGAUCUCAUCACAACUAGGUAGUCGGACAGCGAGUUGCAGGCAUCGUAGGUGGAUCAAUCGAACGAGAGCGGAACUAGGUACCUGAGAGGUGGAAGGCUGAGAGUCUGCCGGCGGCGAAGCACGAGAGCCCACAUCCUGCCGUUGAGUGCUGGAGAGAGAGCGGAGCGCCAUGAUGGCACCGACAUGCCGCAAAAAUUCAGAGGAGGAAGGGGCGUCGGCUAAGGCCUUCUACAAUGGGAGAUGCUUUGAGGGGUGCUUAGAAAAACAAACCGAGAUUUUCUGAAGCACCGGUGCCUAUUUCUACAGGAGAGACGCUUAGUUAAGCGUCUACCCUGUACAAAUAAACACCGGUGCUUAAGAAAAACCUGGUUUAUUUCUCUAAGCACCUUUCUUAAGCACCUCCAAUUGUACAAGCCUAAAGGUUGCUAGGGUUCGGAUGCGGGGUGCUUCCUCGGUCUGGGGCCUCGUGUUUGUGAGAGGAGGGCAAGCCGAGAGCGUUGCCUUUUGUUGGCGAACUCUUUUUUUAGUUCAAUAUAGGGGAGCUUCUAUUUGACACAUUUUGCGUCAAAUAGCCUCACAGCGCACGCACGGACCCGACUAGACAUGCCCAUUGAUGAGAAAGACAUUGGAAAAUGAGGAGUGCGCAAGGAUAAGAAUUACUCCUCUGUCCCAUAAUAUAAAACGUUUUUUAUACUACACUAGUGUUAAAAAGCAUCUUACAUUAUGGAAUGGAGGGAGUACUAUACAUAUAAUAACAACGCACAAACGAAUCAAUCUGUAGUUGGAUGGUUAGAAGGACAGUGCUAUCCCCAGCCCAUCAGAGUUCAAGUUCUAUUGCUCGCUCGCAUUUUUCUGGAUUUAUUUCAGGAUUUCUGGCGAUGCGUGUUCAGUGGAAGGAGACGUUCCCGUCAACUACGAGGCGCCUAUGGUGACUUUAUCAAUCUCAAGAUGAUAUGUUGGCUCAGUCUCUCGAAGGUGCUCAUAGGGAUGAGUGUAUAAACAUUUUUUCAAAUGCAAAUGCGUUCUAAAAAUCCUGAGAUUUUUUUGAAACCAAGAACAAAUUGAAAGUCCGAACAACAAAUGUGAAUUUUCUUUUACUUUUGUGAAAAAAAAUAAAAUGGAGAAAACAUUGAAAAUCCUAAAAAAAUGAAUACAUGAACAAAUAUUUGAAAAGGCGAACAUUUUGUGCAUAUGUGAACAAUUUUUUAAACUCCGAACAAAGUUCGGAAAGGCCAACAUUCUUGAAUUUGUGAACAAAAGUUGAAAAUAAGAACAUUUUUUUGAGCUUUUCGACAAUUUUUGAAAAGCAAGGAUAUAUUUCAAAUUCCCAAACAUUUUUUGAAAAUUGAACAUUUCUCGAAUUUUGAACAAAAUUUGAAACCAAUAGCAUCUUUUGAAGUUCUGAACAGUUUAUGAAAACAAAAAUAUUUUUUUAAAUUUAGAAACAUUUUUCACAAAAAAGGAUUUUUUGAAAAAAAGGAAAAAGAAAGGAAAAUGAGAGAAAAGAAAAAAUAAACAGAGAAAACUAAGAAGAAAAAAGAAAAAAUGGCUCAAGAACCUCCUGGAAGGUUCCCAAAACCGAAGUAACCGUCUACAAGGUUUCCAAAACUGGUAAAAACCAGUACAAAAAAACACACACUAAGGAUGCUGAAUGAGUUGGCCCACUAUGUGUCCUAGCUUGCUUCUUCUAUGCGUUUGGUCGACAACUUGAUGUAAUGAGCAUCAAUUCCCUUUUGUAACUCUUGGUGGACUCUAGCAAACCUGACCAAGCGCGUAGGCACGGCCCAACCCACACUUAAACGUGACACGCAUGACAAGGCCCGUCUAGGCACGUUUACAAGUUGGUUAUAUCAUGCCGGCACAUAGGCCUCGCUCCUACGCCUAGGCACGGCACAGGUAUUAAACAAUCCAACUCGUGCUUGCUCUCUCAUUAUAGUGGUUGUGUAACCCCCCCAAAUGUGAGGGCACAGUAACCUAACAAUAAAUAUUUCUCUUAGUAAAGAAUCAAGAUUUAUCGAACCAGUUCUUCUAAAAAACAAAGUCAUUGAUACCUGCACACAAAACACUGGACAAAUUUGUCCUCGACACGUCAAUAAGGUUGUCAAGCUUCUUGUCUUUGCUAGUUACAAGAUUCAAUUGCAUGGUAUGGUAGGAAUUACUAGAUAGGAGAAGAUAAAAUAAAAAGAAAUGAUAAAGCAAGGGCAUACUAUUUUUGGUAAAGUUUUAAGUACAAGAAGAUAGACCCCCGGGGCCAUAGGUUCACAAGUGACAUUUCUCCAAGCAUACAAGUAUGGUGUGGUGAAUAAAUUACAGUUGGGCAGUGAUUAAAUUGCAAUAUCUAUGUUUAUGACUAUCAUCUCAUGGUAUAAUCUCGUAUAGACAUUAUGUCUGUGAUAUGUAGACCGUUAUCUAACCGCAUCUACAACUAAUAUGCAACCCCAAGACCGGUAUACAGCAUGCAUCUUGGAGUAUUAAGGUCCCUAGCAAACAGAGCAUUGCAAUAAGUAUGAUGACAUAAUGUAGGCACUAAAACUAUCGUCCAAAUGUGAUAAAAAUCAUUGUUUUAUCCAUAGUGGAAAUAAUACAAUACAUAUCUUGUCCAUUUCUAUCUCUGGAACAUAGAUCACCGCAAGAUAUGAACCAAUCACAAUGCAUAACCCCCUUUGAAGAACUACCCAUCAAACUUGGACAAAGAAGACAAAUAGAUUGGAGAACAUACAAAGCUAUUUAAUUAUACAACAAAGAAACUUAAAAUGAUUCAAUUAAUUUCAAUAAACAAUCUGACCAUAAAGUAACAAUUCAUCAUAUCCAACAAACACACCACCAAUUACAUCAUAUGGACCCCAAUCAUGUGAGGUAACUCACUGGAACUUUGUAUUGAAUCAAAGAGGAGGGAGGGUGUCAUCUAGCUACUGCUAUGGACCCUAAGGUCCUAAAGGAACUACUCACACAUGGUCAGGGAAGCAACAAGGUUGACGAAGAAGCCUUCGGUGAUGAAUUCCCCCUCCAGCAGGAUGUCGGAAUAGGCUUCCAGAUUGGAUCUCCUAGGAAUAGAAACUUACAGCGGUGGAAAAAAUCCGAGAAAAAUGGUGUGAAAGGUUUCUCGAUGUAUGAAAUUUAUAGGCGGAAGAAUGGAUGGAAAGCGGUGGCCAAGGACCCCAUGCUGGUGGCAUCCAGGUCGCGCCACCUGGCCGCGUAGGGGCCUAGGGUGGCCCUGGCCCCUCCCGACACUUUUUGCAACCGUCUGGACUAGGAAAAUUCAUAUUAAAUACUUGUCAUAUUUUGAUCUUUGUAGAUAUAGAUUUUCUAGAAAACCAAAACAUGCAGAAAACAACAGUUGUCUCUGCGAACUAGAUUAAUAGGUUAGUCUAGAAAAAUAAUAUAAAUUACUGUGAAAAGCAUUCAAAAGUGAUAUUAUAAUAACAUUAAACAACCAAAAAUUAUAGAUACGUAUGAGAUGUAUCAUCAUCGCAAGCUUAAUCUCUGCUCGACCUGGUGUAGGUGGAUGAUAAAAAGAUAUUUUUUAUGUAAAAUACUACCUAGCAUAAUCUUGAUCAAAUGAUGUAGUGUGUUAUGUGUUGGGUAACGUAGCAUGCAAUUUCAAAAAAAAUCCUAAGCUCGUGCAAGAUCUAUCUAGGAGAUGCAUAGCAACGAGAUGGGGAGAGUGUGCCUACGUACCCUCGUAGACCGAAAGCGGAAGCGUUAUGUUAACGCGGUUGAUGUAGUUGCACAUCUUCACAAUCCAAUCAAUCCAAGUACCGAACGUACGGCACCUCCGUGUUCAGCACACGUUCAGCUUGAUGACGUCCCUCGAGCUUUUGAUCCAGUAGAGGGUCGAGGGAGAGUUCCUUCAGCACGACGGCAUGGCGACGGUGUCAGUGAUGUGAUCCGCGCAGGGCUUCGCCUAAGCACUAUGACAUUAUGACCAGAGGAGUAAACUGUGGAGGGGGGCACCGUACAUGGCUAAGAAGCAACUGUUGUGUCCUUGGGGUGCCCCCUGGCCACGUAUAUAAAGGAGGGGGGAGAGAGGCCGGCGGCCAGGGGGCCGCGCCAUGGGGGGAGUCCUACUUGGACUCCUAGUCCAAGUAGGAUCCCCCCUUUCCUUUCUUCCACUGAAGGGAAUAUGAAGGAGAGGGAGAGGGAAAGGGAAGGGGGGCGUCGCCCCCUCCUCCUUGUCCUAUUCAGACUCUCAAGGAGCGGGGCGCACGGCCACCCCCGCGGGCUUCCCUCUCUCUCCCUUAGGCCCAUGUUGGCCCAACACUUCCCUGGGGGUUUCGGUAACCCCUCGGCACUCCGGAAAAAUACCCGAAUCACUAGGAACCAUUCCGAUGUCCGAAUACUACCUUCCAACAUGUGAAUCUUUACCUCUUGACCAUUUCGAGACUCCUCGUCAUGUCCAUGAUCUCAUUCGGGACUCCGAACAAAUUUCGGUCACCAAAACACAUAACUCAUAAUACAAAUCGUCAUCGAACAUUAAGCGUGCGGACCCUACGGGUUCGAGAACUAUGUAGACAUGACCGAGACACAUCUCCGGUCAAUAACCAAUAGCGGAACCUGGAUGCUCAUAUUGGCUCCUACAUAUUCUACGAAGAUCUUUAUCAGUCAAACCGCAUAACAACAUACGUCAUUCCCUUUGUCAUCGGUAUGUUACUUGCCCGAGAUUUGAUCUUCGCUAUCCUCAUACCUAGUUCAAUCUCGUUACCGGAAAGUCACUUUACUCGUUCUGUAAUGCAUCAUCCCGCAACUAACUCAUUAGUCACAUUGCUUGCAAGGCUUAUAGUGAUGUGCAUUACCGAGAGGGCCUAGAGAUACCUCUCCGAUACACAGAGUGACAAAUCCUAAUCUUGAUCUAUGCCAACUCAACAAACACCUUCGGAGACACCUGUAGAGCAUCUUUAUAAUCACCCAGUUACGUUGUGACGUUUGAUAGCACACAAAGUGUUCCUCUGGUAUUCGGGAGUUGCAUAAUCUCAUAGUUAGAGGAAUAUGUAUACAUCAUGAAGAAAGCAAUAGCAAUAAAACUAAAUGAUCAUAAUGCUUAAGCUAACGGAUGGGUCUUGUCCAUCACAUCAUUCUCUAAUGGUGAUCAUGUUCAUCAAAUGACAACACAUGUCUAUGGUUAGGAAACUUAACCAUCUUUGAUUAACGAGCUAGUCAAGUAAAGACGUACUAGGGACACUCAGUUUUGUCUAUGUAUUCACACAUGUACUAAGUUUCCGGUUAAUACAAUUCUAGCAUGAAUAACAAACAUUUAUCAUGAUAUAAGGAAAUAUAAAUAACAACUUUAUUAUUGCCUCUAGGGCAUAUUUCCUUCAAUCUCCCACUUGCACUAGAGUCAAUAAUCUAGAUUACAUAGUAAUGAUUCUAACACCCAUGGAGUCUUGGUGUUAAUCAUGUUUUGCUCGUGAGAGAGGCUUAGUCAACGGGUCUGCAACAUUCAGAUCUGUAUGUAUCUUACAAAUCUCUAUGUCUCCCUCCUUGACUUGAUCGCGGAUGGAAUUGAAGCGUCACUUGAUGUGUUUGGUUCUCUUGUGUAAUCUGGAUUCCUUCGUCAAGGCAAUUGCUCCAGUAUUGUCACAAAAGAUUUUCAUUGGACCCGAUGCACUAGGUAUUACACCUAGAUCGGAUAUGAACUCCUUCAUCCAGACUCCUUCAUUUGCUGCUUCCAAAGCAGCUAUGUACUCCGCUUCACAUGUAGAUCCUGCCACGAUGCUUUGCUUGGAACUGCACCAACUGACAGCUCCACCAUUCAAUAUAAAUACGUAUCCGGUUUGUGACUUAGAGUCAUCUGGAUCAGUGUCAAAGCUUGCAUCGACAUAACCAUUUACGACAAGUUCUUUGUCACCUCCAUAAACGACAAACAUAUCCUUAGUCCUUUUCAGGUAUUUCAGGAUGUUCUUGACCGUUUUCCAGUGAUCCACUCCUGGACUACUUUGGUACCUCCCUGUUAAACUUAUAGCUAGGCACACAUCAGGUCUGGUACAUAGCAUUACAUACAUGAUAGAACCUACGACUGAGGCAUAGGGAAUGACUUUCAUUUUCUCUCUAUCUUCUGUAGUGGUCUGAUACGUCUCCAACGUAUUUAUAAUUUUUUAUUGUUCCAUGCUAUUAUAUUAUAUGUUUUGGAUGUUUAAUGGGCUUUAAUAUGCAUUUUUAUAUUAUUUUUGGGACUAACCUAUUAAUCGAACGCCCAGUGCAAAAUGUUGUUUUUUUGCCUAUUUUAGUGUUUCACAGAAAAGGAAUAUCAAACGGAAUCCAAACGGAAUGAAACCUUCGCGAGGAUCUUUCUUGGAACAAACGCAACCCAGGAGACUUGGAGUACAAGUCUGGAAGUCCGCGAAGCUUCCACAAGGCAGGGGGUGCGCCCAGGGGGGUAGGCGCGCCCCCCACCCUCGUGGGCCCAACCCACUUCUUUCGCCUAUAUAUACUCUUAUACCCUAAAAACAUCCAGGAGAUCCCACGAAACCAUUUCUCCACCAACGCAACCUUUUGUACCCGUGAGAUCCCAUCUGGGGCCUUUUUCGGCGAUCUGCCGGAGGGGGAUUCGAUCACGGAGGGCUUCUACAUCAACACCAUAGCCUCUCCAAUGAUGUGUGAGUAGUUUACCACAUACCUUCAGGUCCAUAGUUAUUAGCUAGAUGGCUUCUUCUCUAUCUUUGGUUCUCAAUACAAAGUUCCCCUCGAUGUUCUUGGAGAUCUAUUUGAUGUAAUACUCUUUUGCGGUGUGUUUGCUGAGAUCCAAUGAAUUCUGGGUUUAUGAAUUUGAUUAUCUAUGAACAUUAUUUGGUUCUUCUCUGAAUUCUUAUAUGCAUGAUUUGAUAUCUUUGCAAGUCUCUUCGAAUUAUCGGUUUAGUUUGGCCUACUAGAUUGAUCUUUCUUGCAAUGGGAGAAGUGCUUAGCUUUGGGUUCAAUCUUGCAUGUCCUUUCCCAGUGACAGCAGGGGCAGCAAGGCACAUCUUGUAUUGUUGCCCUCGAGGAUAAAAAUAUGGGAUUUAUAUCAUAUUGCUUGAGUUUAUCCCUCUACAUCAUGUCAUCUUGCCUAAUGUGUUACUCUGUUCUUAUGAACUUAAUACUCUAGAUGCAUGCUGGAUAGCGGUUGAUGUGUGGAGUAAUAGUAGUAGAUGCAGAAUCGUUUCGGUCUACUUGACACGGACGUGAUGCCUAUAUUCAUGAUCAUUACCUUAGAUAUCAUCAUAACAAUGUGCUUUUCUAUCAAUUGCUCGGCAGUAAUUUGUUCACCCACCGUAAUAUAUGCUGAGAGAAGCCACUAGUGAAACCUAUGGCCCCCGGGUCUACUUUACAUCCUAUAAGUUUCCAAUCUAUAGUUCUAGUUUACUAUUUAUUUUGAAAUCUUUAUUUUCCAAUCUAUACAACAAAAAUACCAAAAAUAUUUAUCUUAUUAUCUUUAUCAGAUCUCACUUUUGCAAGUGGCCGUGAAGGGAUUGACAACCCCUUUAUUGCGUUGGUUGCAAGGUUCUUGAUUGUUUGUGCAGGUACUAGGCGACUUGCGUGUAGUCUCCUACUGGAUUGAUACCUUGGUUCUCAAAAACUGAGGGAAAUACUUACACUACUUUGUUGCAUCACCCUUUCCUCUUCAAGGGAAAACCAACACAUGCUCAAGAGGUAGCAAGAAGGAUUUCUGGCGCUGUUGUCGGGGAGAUCUACGCUCAAGUCAAGACAUACCAAGUACCCAUCACAAACUCUUAUCCCUUGCAUUACAUUAUUUGCCAUUUGCCUCUCGUUUUCCUCUCCACCGCUUCACCUUUGCCGUUUUAUUCACCUUUUUUCCGUUCGCCUCUUUUUCGCUUGCCUCUUGUGUGUCCGUGUGAUAGAUCGUUUAUUUGCCCUCAUGGCUAGUUCUCCUAUCAUUGUUAACACUCCCGAUAAUGAAGUUCUUAAUUUUAAACAAAGGGAGGGAGAAAAUAUAAAAUAUGCUUGGUAUAGAAUUUGCAAUGCUCAAAACAGACCUAGUAAAAAGCAAUCUACUGUCGUUUUUCUUCGCAAUUUUUACGUAGGCAUCACUCCUUGGUAUAGAUAUGUUCUUGAUACCAUUACCGGAGGGAAUUUCUUGGGUAGCCAUACUUUUGAUUCUUAUAAUGCUAUGGCAGAUUUGUUAGGCCCACCACCUCUUUUGGUCAAUGGAACUAUUUUAACUUUGGAACAUGUGAUGCAAAGGCUUGAUAUUAUUGAAAAUAAAAUUGCCAUUGUAGAGUUAAUUGAAAAUUUGGAUAAAAAGAUCCAAAACCAAAUUACUCAAUAUGGAUCUAAGGUAGGAGUUACUCUGAAAAAUCUUAAGGAAAAGGAACCCAUAGUCAAUGAAAAGAUAGAUCAAGAUUCCACUAGAAUUGAUAAACUUGAAGAAACUAUUACCAACUUGGGGUCCGCUUUUUCUGCCGUUAAAAACACCUCAAAUCCUCCUCCUACCAAAGUUGCCAAAUUUAUCUAUGUUCCUAUAAAUAAGGGUGAAUCUUCUAGUAAGAAAAAUGAAGAUCUCAAAUCAAUAACUGUUCACCCCGACUUUUUAGAUAUCAUUAAGGAACCUUUUGCUACAAAUGAUUUUCUUGAUUUCCUACCUGGUAGUUUGAUCAUUUGCAAAAACAAUGACAUAGACCGAACCUCGAUGGCGAGAUUCGAUCUGUUAUUGCGGCCCGAUCUUUCACGACACUUCUCCUUCAACAGUAGCAACCUCUCGCCCGCGCACACGAUGUACACGAAAUAGAGGGUUUGAACCUUGUGGCUCAGCACGAGAAAACCAAUCUCGACGACGGUACUCACGCGCAAAACAAUUUUCUCACAUAGAAAUCGCAACACAAAGGUUUUCUAAAGCUUCCUCCAAAACUUAGGGAUUUUUAGACAGCUUCCCCCAAAACUCGAUACGGGUAUUUACCCUAAAAAGACAUCGUGUCUAUUCAUAAAAAUAUAACCUACCUAUUACAUGGCCGCACCUGGCUUUAUAUAAUAGCCAACUAGACCUAGACUUAGAAAGCAAGAAAAACAAACGUACGUAAAUAAACUGAACAACUCUGCCUUUUACAUCUCGGCUGAAUUUAAUUAUAUAAACUAUAAUCUGGUGUGCCAUGUUAAUCUGAUUUGAUGGAGGUGGACCCCAGCCCAAGUUGGACAAAGAGAACAUAUCACUUAACAAUUUACAAGUCCUCCGUCCUGCAAACUCUCGAUGUGGCAGAAAUAAAAAUAAGUAACGCCUCCUUCUCCUAUUCUUUUUGAAAGAACGUGACUUCCCAUAAUUCUCAAACAGGACCUCUUCAAGACUAUAUCCACCAACGUGACUGACCCAGGCUUCAUGCUUCUCAUGCAUGCAUGGCUGUACGCAUAUGCAUCCAAGUUCCACUUUACAUUUACUAGCAAUUUCUUGAUCUAUAUGUAUAUACUUCGGUACAUAUGUGUCAUCAGUUUUCAAACUUGGCCCUAGAUACUCUGAUGUAUAUGCAGCGUAUUUUGGUGAACACCGCCUUCAGGCGAAACAUCAACGACCUCAGUUUUUAUAUUACAACGGGUCGUAUCAAACAAAGAACCUUCUAAAGGUUAUAAGUGUUCAAUUGAAGAAUUGCAUACCAAAGAUGACAAUACCUAGAUCUAUUCUUGCCUUUAUGCCUAGCUAGGGGCGUUAAACGAUAGCGCUUGUUGGGAGGUAAGCCAAUUUUAUUUUUGUUCCUUACUUUUUGUUUCUGUUUAGUAAUAAAUAAUUUAUCUAUCCUCUGUUAUGAUUGUGUUUUUUAUAUUUAAAUUAGUGUUUGUGCCAAGUAAAGCCUUUAGGAUCUUCUUGGGUGAUUGUCUUGCUGGAAAAAAUAGAAAGUAUGCGAUCACGAGAAUAAUUUUCUUUUUUUACUAGAGAGCGAUAAAAUACCAAUUCCAACUGCAUUAGAUAAAUCUACAAAUUAUUUAGGUCGUCCUAAUUUUUCAGAAUUUUUCGAGUUACAGAAGUAUUCGAAACCUCCAGAUUGCUACAGACUGUUCUGUUUUUGACAGAUUCAGUUUUUCGUGUGUUCUUUGCUUAUUUUGACGAAUCUAUGGCUAGUAUUGGGGGGUAUGAACCAUAGAGAAGUUGGAAUAUAGUAGGUUUAACACCAAUAUAAAUAAAGAAUAAGUUCAUUACAGUACCUUGAAGUAGUGAUUUAUUUUCUUGUACUAAUGGAGCUCAUGAGAUUUUCUGUUUAAGUUUUGUGUUGUGAAGUUUUCAAGUUUUUGGGUAAAGAUUUGAUGGAUUUUGGAACAAGGAUUGGCAAGAGCCUAAGCUUGGGAUGCCUCGGAAGGUAUCCCCUCUUUCAUCUUCGUCUAUCGGUAACCUUACUUGAGGCUAUAUUUUUAUUCACCACAUGAUAUGUGUUUUGCUUGAAGCGUCUUGUAUGAUUUGAGUCUUUGCUUUUUAGUUUACCAUAAUCAUCCUUGCUGUACACACCUUUUGGGAGACACACACAUGGAUUGGAAUAUAUUAGAAUACUCUAUGUGCUUCACUUAUAUCUUUUGAGCUAGAUAAUUUUGCUCUAGUGCUUCACUUAUAUAUUUUUAGAGCACGGUGGUGGUUUUAUUUUAUAGAAAUUAUUGAUCUCUCAUGCUUCACUUAUAUUAUUUUGAGAGUCUUUUAGAACAGCAUGGUAAUUUGCUUUGGCUAUAAAAUUAGUCCUAAUAUGAUAUGCAUCCAAGAUGGGUAUAAUAAAAACUUCCAUGUAGAGUGCAUUGAAUACUAUGAGAAGUUUGAUACUUGAUGAUUGUUUUGAGAUAUGAAGAUGAUGAUAUUAGAGUCAUGCUAGUUAAGUAAUUAUGAAAUUGAGAAAUACUUGUGUUGAGGUUUGCACAUCCCGUAGCAUGCAUGUAUGAUAACCGUUGUGUGACAAAUUCUAAGGAUGAGGUGUUCUUUGAUUGCCUUCCUUAUGAGUGGCGGUCGGAGACGAGCGAUGGUCUUUUCCUACCAAUCUAUCCCCCUAGGAGUAUGCGCGUAGUGCUUGGUUUUGAUGACUUGUAGAUUUGUGCAAUAAGUAUGUGAGUUCUUUAUGACUAAUGUUGAGUCCAUGGAUUAUACGCACUCUCACCCUUCCAUCAUUGAUAGCCUCUUCGGUAUCGUGCAUUGUCCUUUUUCACCUCGAGAGUUGGUGCAAACUUCGCCGGUGCAUCCAAACCCCGUGAUAUGAUACGCUCUUUCACACAUAAACCUCCUUAUAUCUUCCUCAAAACAGCCACCAUACCUACCUAUUAUGGCAUUUCCAUAGUCAUUCCAAAAUAUAUUGCCAUGCAACUUUUCACCGUUCCAUUUUUUAUGACACGCUCCAUCAUUGUCAUAUUUCCUUGCAUGAUCAUGUAGUUGACAUCGUAUUUGUGGCAAAGCCAUCGCUCAUAAUUUUUAUACAUGUCACUCUUGAAUCAUUGCACAUCCCGGUACACCACUGGAGGCAUUCAUAUUGAGUCAUAUUUUGUUCUAGUAUCGAGUUGUAAUUUUUGAGUUGUAAAUAAAUAGAAGUGUGAUGAUCAUCAAUAUUAGAGCAUUGAUACCUUUGCAAGUCUCUUCGAAUUAUCGGUUUAGUUUGGCCUACUAGAUUGAUCUUUCUUAUAAUGGGAGAAGUGCUUAGCUUUGGGUUCAAUCUUGCGGUGUCCUUUCCUAGUGAUAGUAGGGGCAGCAAGGCACAUAUUGUAUUGUUGCCAUCGAGGAUAAAAAUAUGGGAUUCAUUUCAUAUUGCUUGAGUUUAUCCCUCUACAUCAUGUCAUCUUGCCUAAUGCGUUACUCUGUUCUUAUGAACUUAAUACUCUAGAUGCAUGCUAGAUAGCAGUCGAUGUGUGGAGUAAUAGUAGUAGAUGCAGAAUCAUUUCGUUCUACUUCAUACGGACGUGAUGCCUAUAUUCAUGAUCAUUGCCUUAGAUAUCAUCAUAACUAUGCGCUUUUCUACCAACUAGAUGACUUGUCGCGCCAUUCGGCGCGCAAGACAAACUUGAACCAAGUACUAAAAGAGAUUCCUUUGCCUUUUUUUAGCAUACGGUUUUGAUGUAUACUUGUUUAUCAAGUGCUAUGAAUCAAUAUAGAAAUAUUUUGGAUUGUUUGUUGUGUAGGAAAGGCGAAAGCCCAAUUUAAACUAUGAACUGAAAGCAAUUAUUUUGAUGAACUUAGGAGUGCACGUGGGUUUUUAUCAUAUAAUGGCCUUGCUUUCGAGUGUAUAUGAUAUUGAAAGAACCCAAAUGUUUGAUAUCAUAGAUAGCCGUAUAUGAUAUUCAAGAAAAAUGAAGUACCAAUGACAGUGAGAAUAGGGACUUAUCCAUACCACCAUCUUUGUCAACAAGAACUUUUCUUUCCCUAAACUUCCUGAACCUUUAGCUUGUAUGGGUGCGAUAUUCUUGAAAUUCCAAAUUGUAUGAGAACAAUCAUGAUUAUUUAUGUAAAAAGGGGAUAUCUGUAUCUUCUGAUCUGGAAGUGUUAUAUAUGAUAAUAGUGUAACAAAUACACAUGUACAUGUACGCCUAGUAAGUUUACGGUUUACAGGACACACAUCGACCAAAUAUACAACAAAAGUUCACUUCUGAAUUUAGGCAAGCAACAUAAAGAACUCAUAUUAAGAUACAACCAACAACGUGUGCACAUACAAGAAACAUAUGCAUGUCAAUUCCAGAUAUUUGAAUGAACCUAAGUAAAAUGUUACAUGACCUUUUAUGAAAUUUAUACUAUACAAUGCUUAGGCUGUAGCAUUACCUGUUCCAUUUCCGUCAAAAGAACAAUCUGAACUCGGCCUACAGCUUUACACCAAAAACAAGAUCAAUAACUUGUAGGCAUCACACAAUGAACUUUGUAGCUACAGCAGGAGGUUUGUGCCCAAAUUAUGUACUUAAAUGAGCAGAAGCACACACACAAAUUAAUUUUUGGUCAAUAUUCAACCUGGUAGCAGAUAUAUCAUCAAAAUUCUCAGGUAUAUCAUUACAGUACUUAAUCCCCAUCGACAAUAUAUCAAUUAGAUUUAUAUCUUCGAACCUGCAACAAAUCUAGAAAUUAAAGAACAUUGUUCAAAGAAGAAGAUUUUAUAUAAGACAUGAAGAAUGUAAUAUUCUAACUAUAAAUACUCUCUUGCACACCAAAUAAGAUAGCCUUAUGCAGAACAUACGAACGUGAUAGUAGUGUUCAAGAGAGAGGGAGAGAUCACUUUGUUCAAACUUUUCAUCAAGAUUCACCCUCUUUUUUUCCUCAGGUCUGCACAUGUGUGUUUAAAAAACAUAAAUCAAGGAGGCUGCAUAUUGGCAACCUAGAUUGGGGACAUGUACCAUGGCCAGCACCGUUUGGAACUCCAGCCUCGCUGUUCCUUCCCUCACUGCCAUUCUCCUCAUCCUCCCCUGCUCCUCCACACCCACCAAGAAGAUCAUGCCUCCCUGCUCGCCU